rnacentral:rRNA from 1 species
GACGAACGCUGGCGGCGUGCUUAACACAUGCAAGUCGAGCGAGAAAGUCUUCUUCGGAAGACGAGCUAGCGGCGGACGGGUGAGUAACACGUGGGUAACCUGCCUUAUAGAGGGGGAUAGCCUUCCGAACGGAAGAUUAAUACCGCAUAACAUGGUUUUAUCGCAUGGUAGAAUCAUCAAAGGAGUACUCCUCUAUAACAUGGACCCGCGGCGCAUUAGCUAGUUGGUGAGGUAACGGCUCACCAAGGCGACGAUGCGUCGCCGACAUGAGAGGGAGAGCGGCCACAUUGGGACUGAGACACGGCCCAGACUCCUACGGGAGGCAGCAGUGGGUAAUAUUGCACAAUGGGGGAAACCCUGAUGCAGCAACGCCGCGUGAGUGAUGAAGGCCUUCGGGUUGUAAAGCUCUGUUUACAGGGACGAUAAUGACGGUACCUGUAGAGGAAGCCACGGCUAACUACGUGCCAGCCGCCGCCGUAA